CCUACGGGAUGCAGCAGUAGGGAAUUUUGCACAAUGGGGGGAACCCUGAUGCAGCGACGCCGCGUGAGUGAAGAAGUAUUUCGGUAUGUAAAGCUCUAUCAGCAGGGAAGAAAAUGACGGUACCUGACUAAGACGCCCCGGCUAACUACGUGCCAGCAGCCGCGGUAAUACGUAGGGGGCAAGCGUUAUCCGGAUUUACUGGGGGUAAAGGGAGCGGAGACGGCUGUGCAAGUCUGGAGUGAAAGGCGGGGGGCCAACCCCCGGACUGCUCUGGAAACUGGAAAGCUGGAGUGCAGGAGAGGGAAGCGGAAUUCCUAGUGUAGCGGUGAAAUGCGUAGAUAUUAGGAGGAACACCAGUGGCGAAGGCGGCUGACUGGACUGCAACUGACGUUGAGGCUCGAAAGCGUGGGGAGCAAACAGGAUUAGAUACCCGAGUAGUC
rnacentral:rRNA from 1 species